rnacentral:snoRNA from 1 species
GAUGAUGAUUGCCUUAGGUUUCGAAGCUUGUGGUUGUUAAGUUUGCUUGACCAUGUGCUUGGAUUCGUUGUUGGCCAGAAAAUUUCCCAUUUCUGAUUAA